GACGAACGCUGGCGGCGUGCUUAACGCAUGCAAGUCGAACGGAAAGGCCCUGCUUUUGUGGGGUGCUCGAGUGGCGAACGGGUGAGUAACACGUGAGUAACCUGACCUUGACUUUGGGAUAAGUUCAGGAAACUGGGGCUAAUACCGGAUAGGAGCUCCUGCUGCAUGGUGGGGGUGGGAAAGUUUCGGCGGGUGGGGAUGGACUCGCGGAUGAUGAGCUUGUUGGUGGGGUAGUGGCUUACCAAGGCUGUGACGGGUAGCCGGCCUGAGAGGGUGACCGGCCACCUUGGGCCUGCGAUACGCACCAGACUCCUACAGGGGGCAGCAGUGGGAAAUCUUGCCCAGUGGGCCGACGCCUGAUGCAGCAACGCCGCGUGCGUGAUGACGGCCUUCGGGUUGUAAACCGCUUUCGCCUGUGACGCAGCGUGACUGACGGUAAUGGGUAAAGAAGCACCGGCUAACUACGUG
rnacentral:rRNA from 1 species